CCUACGGGGGGCUGCAGUGGGGAAUAUUGGACAAUGGGGGGAACCCUGAUCCAGCCAUGCCGCGUGUGUGAAGAAGGCCCUCGGGUUGUAAAGCACUUUCAGUGAGGAAGAACGCCUGGUGGUUAAUACCCAUCAGGAAAGACAUCACUCACAGAAGAAGCACCGGCUAACUCCGUGCCAGCAGCCGCGGUAAUACGGAGGGUGCGAGCGUUAAUCGGAAUUACUGGGCGUAAAGCGCGCGUAGGUGGCUUGAUAAGCCGGUUGUGAAAGCCCCGGGCUCAACCUGGGAACGGCAUCCGGAACUGUCAAGCUAGAGUGCAGGAGAGGAAGGUAGAAUUCCCGGUGUAGCGGUGAAAUGCGUAGAGAUCGGGAGGAAUACCAGUGGCGAAGACGGCCUUCUGGACUGACACUGACACUGAGGUGCGAAAGCGUGGGUAGCAAACAGGAUUAGAUACCCGGGUAGUC
rnacentral:rRNA from 1 species